AGAGUUUGAUCAUGGCUCAGAUUGAACGCUGGCGGCAGGCCUAACACAUGCAAGUCGAGCGGUAACAUUUCUAGCUUGCUAGAAGAUGACGAGCGGCGGACGGGUGAGUAACGCGUAGAAAUCUGCCUGGUGGUGGGGGAUAGCCCAGAGAAAUUUGGAUUAAUACCGCAUACGCCCUACGGGGGAAAGCAGGGGCUCUUCGGACCUUGCGCUAUCAGAUGAGUCUGCGUCGGAUUAGCUUGUUGGUGAGGUAAUGGCUCACCAAGGCGACGAUCCGUAGCUGGUCUGAGAGGAUGAUCAGCCACACUGGAACUGAGACACGGUCCAGACUCCUACGGGAGGCAGCAGUGGGGAAUAUUGCACAAUGGGCGCAAGCCUGAUGCAGCCAUGCCGCGUGUGUGAAGAAGGCCUUAGGGUUGUAAAGCACUUUCAGCAGUGAGGAAAGGUUAGUAGUUAAUACCUGCUAGCUGUGACGUUAACUGCAGAAGAAGGACCGGCUAACUCCGUGCCAGCAGCCGCGGUAAUACGGAGGGUCCGAGCGUUAAUCGGAAUUACUGGGCGUAAAGCGCGCGUAGGCGGUUUGUUAAGUCAGAUGUG
rnacentral:rRNA from 1 species